rnacentral:rRNA from 1 species
CAGUCGCCACGGUAAUACGAAGGGUGCAAGCGUUACUCGGAAUUACUGGGCGUAAAGCGUGCGUAGGUGGUGGUUUAAGUCCGUUGUGAAAGCCCUGGGCUCAACCUGGGAAUUGCAGUGGAUACUGGAUCACUAGAGUGUGGUAGAGGAUAGUGGAAUUUCCGGUGUAGCAGUGAAAUGCGUAGAGAUCGGAAGGAACAUCUGUGGCGAAGGCGACUAUCUGGGCCAACACUGACACUGAGGCACGAAAGCGUGGGGAGCAAACAGGAUUAGAUACCCCCGUAGUCCCUGUCUCUUAUAC